AAAUUGAAGAGUUUGAUCAUGGCUCAGAUUGAACGCUGGCGGCAGGCCUAACACAUGCAAGUCGAACGGUAACAGGAAACAGCUUGCUGUUUCGCUGACGAGUGGCGGACGGGUGAGUAAUGUCUGGGAAACUGCCUGAUGGAGGGGGAUAACUACUGGAAACGGUAGCUAAUACCGCAUAACGUCGCAAGACCAAAGAGGGGGACCUUCGGGCCUCUUGCCAUCGGAUGUGCCCAGAUGGGAUUAGCUUGUUGGUGGGGUAACGGCUCACCAAGGCGACGAUCCCUAGCUGGUCUGAGAGGAUGACCAGCCACACUGGAACUGAGACACGGUCCAGACUCCUACGGGAGGCAGCAGUGGGGAAUAUUGCACAAUGGGCGCAAGCCUGAUGCAGCCAUGCCGCGUGUAUGAAGAAGGCCUUCGGGUUGUAAAGUACUUUCAGCGGGGAGGAAGGGAGUAAAGUUAAUACCUUUGCUCAUUGACGUUACCCG
rnacentral:rRNA from 1 species